GUGGUUAUCGGAAGAUCUUCUUGGCGUUCAAUUCCUAACACACACUCCCAUAUCGCAUUAUACAAUUUGUAAAUUAUACCCAAUCAUCAAUCUCAAUACGAAAUUGAAUUACUUACUUGACUACAGUAGUUGAUUAGCUGGUGGGCUUAAAGAAUGCCAAUGGCGGCAGUCGCAUCAUCAUCUCUUAUUGGAUUCAAGAAUUUCUCCGGGCAAAAUAAACUGCAUUGUGGUGGGUUCAAGCCCACCAUUGCUUCCUCCAAAUCGGAGCUGUUUUGUGGUUCUAUUGGUUUCAAUCUCAAAGAAACCACCCGCAGAUGCAAUGGUACCCGCAGAUUGCCUGUUACUUGGGUCGUCUCCCCCAAAGCUGUUUCGGAUUCCAGUUAUUCCCAGACUUGCCUUGAUCCUGAUGCCAGCAC
rnacentral:lncRNA from 1 species